rnacentral:tRNA from 1 species
AGCCAGUGUUGUAUAGUGGUUUGAGCAUUGGACUAUGACUCUGGAGACCAGGGUUCAAAUCCCGCUUGGCUA